rnacentral:rRNA from 1 species
GAUGAACGCUGGCGGCGUGCCUAAUACAUGCAAGUCGAGCGAACAGACGAGGAGCUUGCUCCUCUGACGUUAGCGGCGGACGGGUGAGUAACACGUGGAUAACCUACCUAUAAGACUGGGAUAACUUCGGGAAACCGGAGCUAAUACCGGAUAAUAUAUUGAACCGCAUGGUUCAAUAGUGAAAGACGGUUUUGCUUUCACUUAUAGAUGGAUCCGCGCCGCAUUAGCUAGUUGGUAAGGUAACGGCUUACCAAGGCAACGAUGCGUAGCCGACCUGAGAGGGUGAUCGGCCACACUGGAACUGAGAAACGGUCCAGACUCCUACGGGAGGCAGAAGUAGGGAAUCUUCCGCAAUGGGCGAAAGCCUGACGGAGCAACGCCGCGUGAGUGAUGAAGGUCUUCGGAUCGUAAAACUCUGUUAUUAGGGAAGAACAAAUGUGUAAGUAACUAUGCACGUCUUGACGGUACCUAAUCAGAAAGCCACGGCUAACUACGUG